ensembl:lncRNA novel transcript
GUUCUCCUGUUUUCGGACAGGGCCUGAGGCCGAUUUCCCCUGAAUAGGAUCAAAGAAGUGAGGGGACUAGCCUAGGGCCUGGAACACCCAGAGGGUGGCUGCUGGGGGCGUGAGAACUGGGUAGGGGUGCCUCCAGGAAGUCCUCUUAUGUGUGCUUCUUUGUUCAUUUGACAAGGAUUUGCUGAGCACCUACUAUGCAUCAGACGCUGUGUUCUAGGCAAGGGGGAUACACCUGAUGGAAGAAGGUCCUUCCCUAGACGUAGCUAACAUCCCAGUGUGGGAGAUGACACGAAACAAACUAGAUACUGCUCCUGGAGGCCUGGGUGUGACCGUGACGUAGACUCUGGAGCCACAGGAUAGACCAGUGACCUCAUUUUUCUUGCCAGACUCAGCCUGCCUGCACCCAGGUGAUUAAAAAGCUUUAUUGCUCACACAAAGACUGUUUAGUGGUCUCUUCACAUGGAUGCACGUGACAUUUGGUGCCAUGACUCUGAUCGGGGGACCUCCCUUGGGAGAUCAAUCCCCUGUCCUCCUGCUCUUUGCUCUGUGAGAAAGAUCCACCUAUGACCUCGGGUCCUCAGACCAAGCAGCCCAAGGAACAUCUCACCAAUUUUAAAUCGGGUGAGUGGCCUCUUUUUACUCUCUUCUCCAACCUCUCUCACUAUCCCUUAACCUCUUUCUCCUUUCAAUCUUGGCGCCACCCUUCAAUCUCUCUCUUCCCUUAAUUUCAGUUCCUUUCCUUUUCUGGUAGAGACAGAGGAGAUGCGUUUUAUCCAUGAACCCAAAACUCCGGCACCAGUCACAGGCUCGGGAAGACAGUCUUCCCUUGGUGUUUAAUCACUGCGGGAUGCCUGCCUGAUUAUUCACCCACGUUUCAGAGGUGUCUGAUCACCGCAGGGACGCCUGCCUUGAUCCUUCACCUUAGUGGCAAGUACCACUUUGCUGGGGCACAAAUACCCCCCACCCCUUCUCUCCAUGUCUCUACCCUCUCUUUUCUCUGGGCUUGCCUCCUUCACUAUGGGCAACCAUCCACCCUCCAUUCCUCCCUCUUCUCCCUUAGCCUGUGUUCUCAAAGACUUAAAACCUCUUCAGCUCACACCUGACCUAAAACCUAAACACCUUAUUUUCUUCUGCAAUGCUGUUUGACUCCAAAACAAACUCGACGAUGGUUCCAAAUAGCCAGAAAACGGCACUUUCAAUUUCUCCAUCCUACAAGAUCUAGAUAAUUCUUGUCAUAAAAUGGGCAAAUGGUCUGAGGUGCCUGACAUCCAGGCAUUCUUUUACACAUCGGUCCCUCCCUAGUCUCUGUUCCCAAUGUGACUCACCCCAAAUCCUCCUUCUUUCCCCCCCACCUGUUCCCUCAGUCCCAACCCCAAGCAUCGCUGAGUCUUUUCAAUCUUCCUUUCCUACUGACCCAUGUGACCUCUCCCCUCCUCCCCAGACUGCUCCUCUUCAGGUCGCUCCCCGCCAAGCUAAAUCAGGCUCCGAUUCUUCCUUGGCCUCUGCUCCUCCACCCUAUAAUCCUUCUAUCACCUCCCCUGUGCACACCUGGUUCAGCUUACAGUUUCAUUCUGAGACUAGCCCUCCCCCACCUGCCCAACAAUUUCCUCUUAGAGCGGUGGCUGGAACUGAAGGCAUAGUCAGGGUACAUGUGCCUUUUUCUCUAUCAGACCUCUCUCAGAUCAGCCAGUGUUUAGGCUCUUUCUCAUCAGACCCCACUAAAUAUAUACAGGAAUUCCAAUAUCUAACUCUGUCCUACAAUUUAACCUGGAGUGACUGAAAUGUCAUCCUAACUUCUACCCUAUCCCCAGAUGAAUGGGAAAGAGUUUUUUCUCCAGCCCAAUCUCACGCUGAUAACUGCCGGCUUCAAGAGCCAGACCUCCAGGAAGGCAUUAGAGCAGUUCCCCGAGAGGAUCCCCAAUGGAACUAUCAGGCAGAUUCCCCAGGUAUAGCUAGGCAAGAUUAUAUAAUUUCCUGCCUAGUUGAAGGGUGUAAAAAGGCAGCUUACAAAGCUGUUAAAGAACUGUUAAAGAACAAAGCUUAAAGAAACUACCCAAAGUAAACAUGAAAACCCCGCCCAGUUCAUGGCUGGUUUGGCAGCAACCGUGAGAUGCUUUACAACGCUAGACCCUGAAAGGUCAGAAGGCCGUCUUAUUCUCAAUAUGCAUUUUAUCACCCAGUCAGCUCCUGACAUUAAAAAAAACUUCAAAAAUUAGAAUCCGGCCCUCAAACCCCACAAAAGGAAUUAAUUAACCUCGCCUUCAAGGUGUACAAUAAUAGAAAAGAGUUGCAAUUACUUGCCUCCACUGUGAGAGAAACCCCAGCCACAUCUCCAAUACACAAGAACUUCAAAACACCUAAAUCCACAGUGGUCAGGCAUUCCUUCAGGACCUCCUCCCCCAGGAUCUUGCUUUAAGUGCCAGAAAUCUGGCCACUGGGCCAAGGAAUGCCUGCAGCCCAGGAUUCCUCCUAAGCUGUGCCCCAUCUGUGUGGGACUUCACUGGAAAUCGGACUGUCCAACUCACCAGGCAGCCACUCCCAGAGCCCCUGGAACUCUGGCCCAAGGCUCUCUGACUGACUCCUUCCCAGAUCUUCUUGGCUUAGUGACUGAAGACUGACAUUGCCCAAUCACCUCGGAAGCCUCCUGGACCAUCACAGAUGCUUUGGGUAACUCUUACAGUGGAGGGUAAGUCCGUCCCCUUCUUAAUCAAUACGGAGGCUACCCACUCCACAGUACCUUAUUUUCAAGGGCCUGUUUCCCUUGCCUCCAUAACUGUUGUGGGUAUUGACGGCCAGGCUUCUAAACCUCUUUAAAACUCCCCAACUCUGAUGCCAACUUGAAGAACAGUUUUUAUGCACUUCUUUUAAGUUAUCCCUACCUGCCCAGCUCCCUUAUUAGGUUGAGACAUUUUAACUAAAUUAUCUCCUUCCCUGACUAUUCCUAGGCUACAGCCACACCUCAUUGCCGCCCUUUUCCCCAGUUCAAAGCCUCCUUCACAUCCUCCCCUUGUAUCUCCCCAUCUUAAUCCACCAUUUUGGGACACCUCUACUCCCUCUUUGGUGACCGAUCAUGCACCCCUUACCAUCCCAUUAAAACCUAAUCACCCUUACCUGAUCAAUGCCAGUAUCCCAUCCCACAGCAUGCUUUAAAAGGAUUAAACCCUGGUAUCACUUUCCUGUUACAGCAUGGCCUUUUAAAGCCUAUAAACUCCCCUUACUAUUCCCUCAUUUAACUGUCCAAAAACUGGACAAGUCUUACAGGUUAGUUCAGGAUCUGCACCUUAUCAACCAAAUUGUCUUGCCUAUCCACCCCGUGGUGCCAAACUCAGAUACUCUCCUAUCCUCAAUACAUCCCUCCGCAACCCAUUAUUCUGUUCUGGAUCUCCAACAUGCUUUCUUUACUAUUCCUUUGUACCUUUCAGCCCAGCCUCUCUUCACUUUCACUUGGAUUGACCCUGACACUCAUCAGGCUCAGCAAAUUACCUGGGCUAUACUACUGCAAGGCUUCAUGGACAGCCCCCAUUACUUCAGUCAAGUCCAAAUUUCUUCCUCAUCCAUUACCUAUCUCAGCAUAAUUCUUCAUGAAAACACACAUGCUCUCCCUGCUGAGCAUGUCCAGCUAAACUUUCAAACCCCAACCCCUUCUACAAAACAACAACUCCUUUCCUUCCUGGGCAUGGUUGGAUAGUUUCACCUUUGGAUACCUAGUUUUACCAUCCUGACUAAACCAUUAUACAAACUCACAAAAACAAACCUAGCUGACCCCAUAGAUCCUAAAUCCUUUCACCACUCAUCUUUCCGUUCCUUAAAAACAGCCCUAGAAGCUGCUCUCACACUAGCUCUCCUUAACUCAUCCCAACCCUUUUCAUUACACACAGCCGAAGUACAGGGCUGUGCGGUUGAAAUUCUUACACAAGAGCCAGGACCACGCCCUGUAGCCUUCCUAUCCAAACUACUUGACCUCACUGUUUUAGACUGGCUCCCACAUUAUUCCAGAUACCACACCUGACCCCCAUGACUGUAUCUCUCUGAUCCACCUGACAUUUACUCCAUUUCUCUAUAUUUUCUUCUUUCCUGUUCUUCACCCUGAUCACACUUGGUUUAUUGAUGUCAGUUCCACCAGGCCUAAUCGCCACUCACCAGCAAAGGCAGGCUUUGCUAUAGUAUCUUCCACAUCUAUCAUUGAGGCUCCUGCUCUGCCCCCUCCACUACCUCUCAGCAAGCCAAACUCAUUGCCUUAACUCAGGCCCUCACUCUUGCAAAAGGAGUACAUGUCAAUGUUUAUACUGACUCUAAAUAUGCCUUCCAUAUCCUGCACCACCAUGCUAUUAUAUGGGCAGAAAGAGGUUUCCUCACUACGUAAGGGUCCUCCAUCAUUAAUGCCUCUUUAAUAAAAACUCUUCUCAAGACCACUUUACUUCCAAAGGAAGCUGGAGUCAUUCACUGCAAAGGCCAUCAAAAGGCAUCAGAUCCCAUCACUCAGGGCAACACUUAUGCCGAUAAGGUAGCUAAAGAAGCAGCUAGUGUUCCAACUUCAGUCCUUCACAGCCAGUUUUUCUCCUCAUCAGUAACUCC